CGGCGUGCCUAAUACAUGCAAGUCGAGCGAAUGGAUUAAGAGCUUGCUCUUAUGAAGUUAGCGGCGGACGGGUGAGUAACACGUGGGUAACCUGCCCAUAAGACUGGGAUAACUCCGGGAAACCGGGGCUAAUACCGGAUAACAUUUUGAACCGCAUGGUUCGAAAUUGAAAGGCGGCUUCGGCUGUCACUUAUGGAUGGACCCGCGUCGCAUUAGCUAGUUGGUGAGGUAACGGCUCACCAAGGCAACGAUGCGUAGCCGACCUGAGAGGGUGAUCGGCCACACUGGGACUGAGACACGGCCCAGACUCCUACGGGAGGCAGCAGUAGGGAAUCUUCCGCAAUGGACGAAAGUCUGACGGAGCAACGCCGCGUGAGUGAUGAAGGCUUUCGGGUCGUAAAACUCUGUUGUUAGGGAAGAACAAGUGCUAGUUGAAUAAGCUGGCACCUUGACGGUACCUAACCAG
rnacentral:rRNA from 1 species